rnacentral:lncRNA from 1 species
UCACCACCUCCAACUCCCUCAUCAAUACACGAAUUCUUCUCCCUUGACAGCCCAAUAUACCACCACCAAUAACCCCAAAUCAGUUCCAUGACAGCCGACUAAUAUCACCGAGAACCCCCAAAAUCAGAGCCCUACACUUUUUGAGAGAAAUAAGAGAGGAGAUUGAAUGAUCCUGGAUUUGAGGAGAGGAAUUUAAUUCGAGGUGAUCGAACAAAGAAGACAAACUACUUGAAUUGAUGAGAUGAUUAGAUUAAACUUACAGUGAUGUUGAGAUUUGAGAGAGGAAAUCAAUUAAACACCGAUCGAUUUCUGAAUCAAGAAAUUAUCGAUGAUGGCCCUAGCUGCUUCUGAUCCUGCCGACACCACCAAUAUUUGCAGUCACUAGUAAUAUUCAUAAUUAUAUUAACUUUGUUUAUUCUUUCUUUCUUUGAGUAAUUAUCUGUCUGCAUUUAGCAUGGAUUGUUUUUGAAGAAUGAGAGAUAUGAUAUGUGAGUUGCAGGCAGUGAGGGUGAGGGUGAGGGUGAGGGUGAGGGUGAGGGUGAGGGUGAGGGUGAGGGUGAGGGUGAGGGUGAGGGUGAGGGUGAGGGUGAGGGUGGGGUGGGGCCACUUGAGUUAAUUUAUCUUUUAAUUUUUUUAAUAUUUUUUUAAUACAGUAAGGGCAUUAAGGUCAUUUCACACCUACUUAACUGAGAAAACUAACACCCAUCCACUUCAGGGACUAUCCGAGUAACAAACUGUCAAACCACAGGGAGCACUGGUGUAAUUUCCAAAAGUUAGGGACUAUAGGUGUUAUUUUACAAAACCACAGGGACUAUCCGUGCAUUUUACUCUAGUAAAAAAUGGUUGGAAAUCACGUCCAAAUUGCGACUAAAUACCAACACUACUGAAAAACUUAACUUAAGUUUUAUAGAAGCUUCCACAGCUUUGUCCUUUCUGCAGAAUUACUUGGAUCCGACUCGCCUUUAAUGUAUCCUUUGAUGAUUUCCGCACUUUUGCACUUUUAAGAGAUUAUCUUAGUUAUAGUAGUAUGCCUCUCUUUUGAAGGUGACGUUACCCUCAACCCAGUGGUUUGAGUCAGCAAAGAUACAAUCCCAAAUGGUCGGAAUAUUGGAAGAUAAUUAAUUAAGUUAUUAAUACGAAAAGUCGCAAGCCCAUCUUUUGAAGGUGACGUUACCCUCGGCUAAGUGGUUUGAGUCAGCAGGGAUACAAUACCAAGUAGCCGGUUUAAUGUAUUAAUAGUAGUUUACAUAUGAUGGGAUCAAGCCAUUCGCACCCCCACCAUCCAAUACCAGUGGGUAUUGAAUGAGGUCCUAGUAAGCUUGACCCAGGUCCUUGCAGGAUCUAUACACUGAACAAGGCAAGAACCUUACCAAACCAUUCCCUUAACCCCCGACCAGGUAGCCAACAUAUCUCUAUAUAGACCGUAGAGAUACGAAUGAUGUAAAUCUUUUACUUUAUAUAGACAGUAAAGUAAUGCCAAGACACCACGGACAAAUGAUAAAGAAGUUUCGCCUUCAACACAAGAAACUAGUUAUUAAAGUCAUUAAUACAA